rnacentral:rRNA from 1 species
UACGGAGGGUGCAAACGUUGCUCGGAAUCAUUGGGCGUAAAGCGCACGUAGGCGGUCCAGCAAGUCGGGUGUGAAAUCCCUCGGCUUAACCGGGGAACUGCGUCUGAUACUGGAUGGCUUGAGUUUGGGAGAGGGACGCGGAACUCCAGGUGUAGCGGUGAAAUGCGUAGAUAUCUGGAGGAACACCGGUGGCGAAGGCGGCGUCCUGGACCAAUACUGACACUGAGGAGCGAAAGCCAGGGGAGCAAACGGG